CACUGCCGAGAAAAGCCUCUAGAUAGAAAAUAGGUGCCCGUACCGCAAACCGACACAGGUAGUCAAGAUGAGAAUUCUAAGGUGAGCGAGCGAACUCUCGUUAAGGAACUCGGCAAAAUGACCCCGUAACUUCGGGAGAAGGGGUGCUCUUUAGGGUUAACGCCCAGAAGAGCCGCAGUGAAUAGGCCCAAGCGACUGUUUAUCAAAAACACAGGUCUCUGCUAAACCGUAAGGUGAUGUAUAGGGGCUGACGCCUGCCCGGUGCUGGAAGGUUAAGAGGAGUGGUUAGCUUCUGCGAAGCUACGAAUCGAAGCCCCAGUAAACGGCGGCCGUAACUAUAACGGUCCUAAGGUAGCGAAAUUCCUUGUCGGGUAAGUUCCGACCCGCACGAAAGGCGUAACGAUUUGGGCACUGUCUCAACGAGAGACUCGGUGAAAUCAUAGUACCUGUGAAGAUGCAGGUUACCCGCGACAGGACGGAAAGACCCCGUGGAGCUUUAC
rnacentral:rRNA from 1 species